rnacentral:rRNA from 1 species
UACGGGGGGGCAAGCGUUGUUCGGAAUUACUGGGCGUAAAGGGCUCGUAGGUGGCCAACUAAGUCACACGUGAAAUCCCUCGGCUUAACCGGGGAACUGCGUGUGAUACUGGAUGGCUUGAGUUUGGGAGAGGGAUGCGGAAUUCCAGGUGUAGCGGUGAAAUGCGUAGAUAUCUGGAGGAACACCGGUGGCGAAGGCGGCAUCCUGGACUAAUACUGACGCUGAGGAGCGAAAGCCAGGGGAGCAAAGCGGG